UGCGCUGUUCGUGGUGAUUUGGCCGGCCGGCUUGCAGCCACGUAAAACAAGUCGCUAAAAGGGCCGCGCGCAGGAAGAC
rfam:Hyphomonadaceae bacterium BRH_c29 BRHa_1002634, whole genome shotgun sequence.